rnacentral:rRNA from 1 species
CAGGGCGGUUUCUUAAGUCUGAUGUGAAAGACCCUGGCUCAACCGGGGAGGGUCAUUGGAAACUGGGAAACUUGAGUGCAGAAGAGGAGAGUGGAAUUCCACGUGUAGCGGUGAAAUGCGUAGAGAUGUGGAGGAACACCAGUGGCGAAGGCGACUCUCUGGUCUGUAACUGACGCUGAGGAGCGAGAGCGUGGGGAG